GAGGAAUUGAAGUGAAUUGAAUUUUAGAUGAAUUUAGGUUUAAGGGCAAAAGUUGAGGACUUCACUAAUUACAGGUUGGGGAAACAUACUGCAGUAUACUAAUAAAUUGCAUUGUAAGUUUAAUAAAUAAAAUGCAUAUCUAGAGCCCUUCCUCCCUAUACGCAAAGUAUGCAAGCUGAGUAGGGCCCCCAGAAGUCUAUGAUCAGCACUGAUUGUAUCACUUUAACAUGUAAUCACUUUCUAUGAGAUAUCCACUGUGCAUUUUAAGCGAUAUGUAAAUAAAAUGUUUUAAGACCAGUGAAAGACAAAAAUGUCAUGUCUUUUCAAUUCAGCAAGUAAUACGCUAAUAAAGAUUCCUGUCAGACAGGAAACAUAUAUAAAUUGAGUGUCAGCCCUCUCAUUUCUCUAUUCUCUUGUCGGUAAAUUCUCUUGACCCCCCCACCCACACUUUCCUCUUUUUCCUGCUCCCUCACCCCUGCUGCCUAGCCUCCUCUCUCUUAGAGAAUUUGGUCAAUAAUUGAUGAAUCUUGCUUACUGAAAGGGUAACAGGUCUAUAGCAAUAGUCCAUUGCCCAUUGACGUAUGUUUCCUUCCUCCCCGGGCAGGUUUCUUUAGAGCGGCUGCAUAAACGCUACACAAAUGCUUUUAAAUGAUUUCAGCGAGUGAAUAUUCACCACUGUAGGCUUUUCCAAUGGCUUUUAGUUGGUCUGUAUAUGUGCAGUAGUUCACCGACCACUGAUUUCAGUGGCAGCAGAUGGGCAUGCAAGAGUUACUCCUGUCAGUCAACAGGCAGCAGGAGACAAGGAAGGAUGUAGAGAAAGAUUAAAUUAGAAAGUGGCAGGGGGUAGAGAGAAGAGAGAGAGAGAGAGAUACACACACACACACACACACACACACACACAGAGAGAGGGAGGCAGUUAAUUCACCACCAGGAGUGAUGGCCUGCAUGCCCGGUUAGCAUCUUUCUGUGGCUGUCUGUAAUAAACACUUACCAUGGAGGGGAGAAAUGAGAAGUUGUUCUCCAGGAAAAGAAGUUUCACAUUCGGAGCUUAUGGAGGGAUUGACAAGUUCAUCACUGGAAAUGAGAGCAGGUCAGCAACAGUUUGGGUUUGUCGCUGUGCUCAGGUGUUUGAACUCAGUUAUCGCAAGCAGACUUUUCCAGAAAACUUGUCUCUGUAUGUUACAGCUGUGCAGAAUCUGUGGGUCACAGCAUACUGGACAUUUUGGAUUCCCCAUCCUGUGAGGCCAAGCCACUCACUUCUGCACUGUCCAGUCAGAAGGUAA
ensembl:lncRNA